UAAAAAAGGAGAAAAAAAGGAAAAAGUAAAAACAGAAACAGGCAAAAAAAAUUGGGAGAGAAAAGGAGUAGAGAAAAAAGAAAAAUGAAAAUAAAAAAAUAAACAAAAUGAAAAAAAGAGAAGUCAAAAUCCAACUAGCUAGGGUCAAAGGCCGACAGGUCACCAAAGCUUCCUGGGCUGUAAAGACCAAACACCCAGCCGAGCCAGGGUCUUAUAUAGACAGGUCUUGCCAUGACUUCACAAUGUGAAGGCACAUGUGAGGGCACAGCAAGAAAUGGGCCAAUUAUGCGAUCAUGGCUGGGGAUGUCUGAGACCCCAGUGGUUUCCUCACUUUUUAUUCCCAAAACCCCUUUACUCAACAACAAAAAAAAGACCCCCAAUGGGCGUUUUGUUUGUUUGUGUGGGCUUUUCAAGAUUGAUAUUUACUUUGUUAGAAAUCAAAAUCUAUAAGAUGGUUCAGUGGCCUUUCACUUCAAGUUUAGAAAACUGUAAUUUUGGCUUGUAUAGACCUCAUAAUGUCUACACUUAAAAUACCCAGUUCCUGGUCUCAAAAUGGUGCUACAACAUAUAAGGAAAUGUUGUGUUGUGUACAACACGAUAAGGCUCAUUAUUAACAUCUAUAAAGCUCAGAGGAAGAUUGCUUUUCAUCAUAUUUUCACUGAUAAGGUUGUGAGGAGAUUUCUCAUCAGAAACCUUGGAGGCUAGAAGGCAUGGGUUGAUGUGUUUAAAGCGCUGAAGGAAAAAAGCUGUCAACCAAGAAUCCUACAUUUGGGAAAACUGUCCUUCAAAAAUGAGGAAGAAAUGAAGACAUUCCCAGAUCAACGAAAGCUGAAAGCCUUGCCCUGAUGACUAGACCGGCCCUGCAGUGAAGGGGGUCCUUCAGGUUGAAAUGAAAGGGCACUGAACAAGUAACUCGAAGCCUUCUGAAGAGAUAAUCUCCGGUAAAGAGCCUGGCGUGGGGCUCAAACCCACAAACCGUGAGAUCAUGACCUAAGCUAAAACCAAGAGUCAGACACUUAACCAUCUAGCCACCCAGGUGCCCAACCUCAAGAUUUGAAAAACUCAACAAAUGCCGCCUGUUAAAUACCUGACUGUUUGCACCAUAGCCCUAACUUUGGGAUCCCACCUGAAUCAACACCUCCUGAAAUGAAGUACAACUGUUUAACUGAACAGACUUAUUCUCAGGACUAAGAGACUGGUUCAGUGAGAUGGAGCCAUCUACCAACUCAACUUCAGGAUUGUCAAACUUCUUGGGGAAGUUUCCAAGGUGGAACUGAGGGGAAGAGCAAAUUACGUGACCCCAAAAUAUGUCAUUUUGUCUUGUGGGUUAUUUUGAGCUGAAGGCAGACUCAAGAAAAACUUUCAGUUCUCCCUAAUCACCUAAAAGAAUUUAGAUAGGGGACCUGGCCCAAAAAGAGAGCUAUUAUUAGAGAUAAAUUUUUACUUGAAAGACCUAUGUGGAUGGCAGGGCAAACAUUCAUUCUUAUUGUCCUGUCACCCACUUUCCCUUUGAAGCCCCAGGUCCCUAUCCCAUUUCUUCAUUCAGUAUGGCACGUAAGCCUCAUCUGAUGGUCUUGUCUUUGGGUCUCAUAUUCUGACGGGACUUCUGUGUGUAUGUCAUUAAAUGUUUUCCUCCUGUUAACCUGUUUUAUAUCAACUUACCAGCCAAAGAACCUAGAAGGGUAAAGGAGGAAUUCUUCCUCCCAAUGUAAAAAGUAUUUGUUCUUUCAUCUUUUUGGCUCGUUUUGCUUUGUGUACUUCCCUCAUGGUUCAUCGGUGUUCUAGCAUGUGUCAGAAUUUCCUUCCUUUUUAAGGAUGAGUAAUAUUCUAUAAUAUUGUAGGCAUAUGCUAAAUUUUGUUCAUCCAUUCAUUCACUGAUGGACAAUUCAGUUAUUUCCAUCUUUUGGCUCUUGUGAAUAAUACUGUUAUGAACAGUGGUGUACAAAUAUUUGUGUGAAUACCUGCUUUCAGUUCUUUGGGUAUAUACCCAUAAGGGGGGUUGCUGAACCAUAUGGCAAUUCUAUGUUUAAAUUUGGAUGAAGUCUAAUUUGUCUAUUUUUUCUUUUGUUGCUUGUGCCUUUUGUUUCAUAUCCAUAAAACCAUCAUCAAAUCCACUGUCAUGAAGCUCUUGUCCUGUAUUUUCUACUAAGAGUUUUAUAGUUUUACUUCUUACAUUUAAGUCUUUGAUCCACAGUGUGCAGAUUUUAUUACGCGCUAAAUUAGUGAUCUUUUAAAAUAUAUAAACCCGGAGUGCCUGGGUGGCUCAGUCAGUUGAGCAUCGGACUCUUCAUUUCGGCUCAGGUG